UACAGAGGUCUCAAGCGUUGUUCGGAUUCAUUGGGCGUAAAGGGUGCGUAGGUGGUCAUGUAAGUCUAAUGUGAAAUCUCGGGGCUCAACCCCGAAAUUGCAUCGGAUACUGCGUGACUAGAGGACUGUAGAGGAGAUUGGAAUUCCAGGUGUAGCGGUGAAAUGCGUGGAGAUCUGGAGGAACACCGAUAGCGAAGGCAGCCUCCUGGGCCAACACUGACGCUCAUGCACGAAAGCGUGGGGAGCAAACAGG
rnacentral:rRNA from 1 species